rnacentral:rRNA from 1 species
CCUACGGGUGGCAGCAGUGAGGAAUAUUGGUCAAUGGGCGCGAGCCUGAACCAGCCAAGUAGCGUGAAGGAUGACUGCCCUACGGGUUGUAAACUUCUUUUAUAAAGGAAUAAAGUGAGGCACGUGUGCCUUUUUGUAUGUACUUUAUGGAUAAGGCUCGGCUAACUCCGUGCCAGCAGCCGCGGUAAUACGGAGGAUCCGAGCGUUAUCCGGAUUUGUUGGGUUUAAAGGGAGCGUAGAUGGGUUGUUAAGUCAGUUGUGAAAGUUUGCGGCUCAAACGUAAACUUGCAAUUGAUACUGGCAGCCUUGAGUACAGGUGAGGUAGGCGGAAUGCGUGGUGUAGCGGUGAAAUGCUUAGAUAUCACGAAGAACUCCGAUUGCGAAGGCAGCCUACCAAACUGCGACUGACAUUGAUGCUCGAAAGUGUGGGUAUCAAACAGGAUUAGAUACCCCGGUAGUC